UGUACCCUCCUUAGCUAAAAAAAAUUAGGUCACUCUCCCUCCCAAAUCGCUCUCAGCCUCUCUCUCACUCCCCAUCGCUCUCAGCCUCAAUCCCGCUCACCCUCUCACCCUUGUCGAGCCUCUCAGCCUCACUGUCACUCAGCCUCGUCUCUCUCCGUCGCGCGCGCCUUCAGUCUCUCCACCACGGGUUCUCUCUCCGUCAGUCUCCCUCAGUCGCGACUCCAUAUCUCUCUCUCUCUCUCUCUCUCUCUCCCCCUCCCCCUUGAGGAUCCACGGGUUCACUCUUCAGCCUCCAUCUCUCUCUCCUUGUAAGUUCUUCUCUUUUCAGAUUCAGUUCAAUUGUUUGUUUUAUUUCAUUGGGCUUUGAAGUUUACUGAUAUGAUUGGGUUUAUUGCAAAAAUCUCAACUCUUCCCCGUCUUCUUCUAUUGGUCUAUCAAAUUUCGUGAAACGGGUUGGGUGCACCGGCGUUGUGUUUUUGGUUGAGGAGAAAGAUGAACGACUCAGAUUGUAAUUUUUAAUAAUAAAAUUCAGGAAACAUUGGGAAUGUGCCGCUUGUUCUGAUUGCAUGUAGAGACUCAUCCAACCCUUUUGGUGACUCGACAACAUGUAGCACAAAUGGGACUGCCUAUAUUUCGUUUGGCCAGUGGGUCCUCUACAGAAUUUUGGAUUACUUCAGCAAACUUGUUUCGGAGAACUAUUGUGCAAGUUUAAAUGGAGCAGUUUGCAAGUCCUCCUUUGCUUGAUAUUGUGGUAGUUUGGCAGCUGUGGUUUUGAAGGUUGCUGAAAUUAGCAGAGCACUACGACCUGGUGGGGUGUUUGUUGCAACAACUUAUAUACUUAACGGUCAGUCAGUUUGCCUUUGUCCCAUUUUAGAGGGAAGGUACCAAGGUAUAUCCUUUAAACUCAGAACCUGCACCAUUCCAGUGUUUGGGAUUCUUCUCAGUGUGCCUCAUGGUUUGGGAUUAUAUUUAUACUUGAAAUUAGUUUUUUCUUUUUUUUUUUCCUCACAAAAUCAUUGUUCAUUUAUUGUAUAUUUAUCUUUGAUGUAGGUUCUUAGGUCCUCCAAUUGAAAACAUGAUUUAUGAACUAACAGAUAAGUUAUGUCCUAUAUGAUUUUUUUCUUUGAACUUGCAGUGUACAUUUGUGGGGCAUUCAUAGAGGAGUCCUUGAGGAAUCAAUUACAGCCUACAAAAUUUGGUGGAGUUCAAAGUCUUGAACUUGCAUGCUACUCAAAGAAGACUUGGUAAUUUUAGAUGAGGUUAUCAAUCGAGACUGCAAAUAAUGUUGUUUUGUUGGAAAUAACUGCUGUCUAACACUUGAAGCCCUUUCUCUUUAACAGAAUAUAUGAAGAUAUGCAUUGAUGAUGCACUGGGUGCAUUGGGUUUAGGGACUUAUUUUGGUAACCUUGAUUUUACAACAAGCUAGAUAAGACAAUAUGAUCGACUUGCUGUAACCUUGAUUUUACAAGAUAAACAGUAUUAUUACUUGCUAGAUUGAGGUUACUUUUGGUUAGGAUUGCUAGAUAUGUUUUGGAUUGCCAAUGUAAGAAACAGAUGGCAUUGAUAUAUGACAAUGUUUUAUUUUGGAUU